UAGUUAUACUGCACAUUUACCAAUCUCGAACAUACCAAUUAAAUAUAUCUUUUGACGUAUUUUUUCCAAACCUGAAAAUUAUAAAGCGUUGCAAACGCGAAAUGAUUUAUGUAUAACCACAUAAUCGAAACUCAUAUACAAUCGUGAAAUAACCGCAUGCGCGCUGCGCACAUCCGUGUGUUUGUUUACAAACAAUGCCUGGACCAAAAUCGAAACCGAAAGUGCAGAAAAAUGCAACACAAUAUAGAGACAAGCGAUUUCAUUUGAAUUUGAUCAAUCUUGGCGAUACGACUGAACGUUGGAAGAUCUUUAAAAGCAUCUUUUGAACAGACAAAGAAAGAGGUGUGGCUGAUAUACUAAUCGGGCUCAUGGUGUUAUAACAGCAAGCUGUGAACCUACGAACAGUCAUCAGCAUCGUGACCUGUCUUCUGUGUCGGAAGGAAGAAACAUACCUGAUCAGGUGUCAGGAACUGGAGAGAUGACAUCUGACUUGGAAGGUGUGCUUGUGCAUGCCAAGACUUGGACAGUGGUGCCGGUCAACGCAAAGAACAAAUAGGUAUACAGGUUCACUCCAUGAUAGCACUCUAAGUUCCUUGUUGAUCCAGCUGAUCCAGAGCUGAUGCCUCUACAAUUUCCCCUUAUCCACAUCCUGCAACUGCGGAGCUGCGAUAAUACAAGAGAUAAUACAAGAGAGCAAAGAUCAAUGGCAAACAAGCGGGAGGCAAUUGGUAGAUUCACUAAAUGAGUUAAUAGAAAUAGGCACAUGCCGUAUGUCGUUUUAAAAGAUUUUAACAUACCAUCACCGUGAAAUGAAAACUUUGCGAUCUUUACAGGAUGGUUUUAUAGGAUAUAGAUGACUAUAUGACUUGAAACGAUGCUUGAUUUUUUUUUGUCAGUGUGAAUGCGUGACCAAAUGCUUGUUGUUAUUACAUACUAAUGAUAUAUAUAUAUAUAUAUAUAUAUAUAUUACAUUUUAAUUGCUGAACUGCUUAUCAACAAACAACUUAAAUACAAUUGUUGAAAACUCAAGAAAAACGCAGACAAGAGUCCUGAACCAGAAGACUUACUAGUAAAAUUGUAUGUCUAUGUAGCGUGUUCCAAAUCAUCAUGUAUUUACAAAUAAAGAACAUAAAAUUUAA